rnacentral:sRNA from 1 species
UCCGGGCACAGUGGCUCAUGCCUAUAAUCCCAGCAUUUUAGGAGGUCAAGAUGGGAGGAUCACUUAAGCCUCAGAAUUUGAGGCUGCAGUGAGUUAUGACCAUGCCCACUGCACCUCAGACUUCAGCCUGGGUGACAAAGACCCUGCCUCUUAAAAAAAAGAAAGAAAAACAUGGUACCCUCCUGGGAGUGAAAAACCACCAGGUUGUUUAAAAAGGGAUAAACUGGCCCAGGAAUGGAAACUGAGCAGGUCAAAACUCCUGUGCUGAUUAAUAGUGGGAUUGCACCUUUGGAUAUCCACUGCACUCCAGCCUGGGCAACACAGUGAGUUGCCCAUGUCU